GAUGAAGAACGCAGCGAAAUGCGAUAAGUAGUGUGAAUUGCAGAAUUCAGUGAAUCAUCGAAUCUUUGAACGCACAUUGCGCCACUUGGUAUUCCAUGGGGCAUGCCUGUUCGAGCGUCAUUUGUACCUUCAAGCUUUGCUUGGUGUUGGGUGUUUGUCUCGCCUUUGCGUGUAGACUCGCCUUAAAAUAAUUGGCAGCCGGCGUAUUGAUUUCGGAGCGCAGUACAUCUCGCGCUUUGCACUCAUAACGACAGCGUCCAAAAGUACAUUUUACACUCGUGACCUCGGAUCAGGUAGGGAUACCCGCUGAACUUAAGCAUAUCAAUAAGCGGAGGA
rnacentral:misc_RNA from 1 species